rnacentral:rRNA from 1 species
CACGUAGGUGGCAAGCGUUAUCCGGAAUUACUGGGCGUAAAGGGUCCGCAGGCGGUGAGGGAAGUCUGGCGUGACAGCGCGCGGCUCACCCGCGCGAGGCCAUCGGAAACUCCUUGACUUGAGUCACAGAGAGGGGUGCAGAAUUCCAGGUGUAGUGGUGGAAUGCGUAGAUAUCCGGAGGAACACCAGUGGCGAAGGCGACUUCCUGGCCUGUUCUUGACGCUGAGGCGCGAAAGCUGGGGGAGCAAACGGG